rnacentral:misc_RNA from 1 species
GGCUAUCGCAAUUUGUUGAAGAAGAUUCACAUUCUGGGUAUUCGUUGAUCGGAAAACUACCGGUGAAGAAGAACAAGUCAGUGACGGAAAACCCGGUUCAGGUGAAUUCAUGUUUUACAGUUCCGGUUCAAACAAAGCCCAGAACUAAACGUCGGAGAAUCGGCGGUCGAGUUUGGUCUUUCACCGGUUCAUCUACUUCCUCUGCUUCUUCCUCCACUAUAACAACGACAGCUGAGUCAAUUGUACGAUUUCCGGCGUCGGUGAGUAACCG